AGAACGAACGCUGGCGGCAGGCUUAACACAUGCAAGUCGAACGGUUGUAGCAAUACAGCAGUGGCAGACGGGUGAGUAACACGUGGGAACCUUCCUAGGGGUACGGAACAACUCAGGGAAACUUGAGCUAAUACCGUAUACGUCCGUAAGGAGAAAGAUUCAUCGCCCCUAGACGGGCCCGCGUAGGAUUAGGUAGUUGGUGAGGUAACGGCUCACCAAGCCUACGAUCCUUAGCUGAUCUGAGAGGAUGAUCAGCCACACUGGGACUGAGACACGGCCCAGACUCCUACGGGAGGCAGCAGUGGGGAAUCUUGGACAAUGGGCGCAAGCCUGAUCCAGCCAUGCCGCGUGAGUGGAAGGAGGCCGUUCGGGUUGUAAAGGUCUACGUUUUACCCGAGGGUACGAUAAGUGACGGUACCGUGGAGAAUAACGCCCCGGACAAACUCGUGCCAGCAGCCGC
rnacentral:rRNA from 1 species